UUGUAUCUGACAAGUUACUGGGAUUCCCCUUCAAGCCAUUGUGUUUGAUGCAGAUCCGGCUUUCAGAUGCA
rnacentral:snoRNA from 1 species